CCUACGGGAGGCAGCAGUAGGGAAUAUUGGACAAUGGACGCAAGUCUGAUCCAGCCAUGCCGCGUGCAGGAUGACAGCCCUCUGGGUUGUAAACUGCUUUUAUAUGAGAAGAAACCCUCAGAUGCGUUUGAGGCUGACGGUAUCAUAUGAAUAAGGAUCGGCUAACUUCGUGCCAGCAGCCGCGGUAAGACGAAGGAUCCAAGCGUUGUCCGGAUUUACUGGGUUUAAAGGAUGCGUAGGCGGACACUUAAGCCAGUGGUGAAAUCCCAUAGCUCAACUAUGGAACUGCCAUUGGAACUGUGUGUCUUGAAUUCGGUUGAGGUAGAUGGAAUAUAACAUGUAGCGGUGAAAUGCUUAGAUAUGUUAUAGAACACCGAUUGCGAAGGCAGUCUACUAAGCCGACAUUGACGCUGAGGCAUGAAAGCGUGGGGAGCGAACAGGAUUAGAUACCCUGGUAGUCCACGCCCUAAACGUUGAUUACUCGCUGUUAGCGAUAUACUGUUAGCGGCUAAGCGAAAGCGUUAAGUAAUCCACCUGGGAAGUACGAUCGCAAGAUUGAAACUCAAAGGAAUUGACGG
rnacentral:rRNA from 1 species